GAUGAAGAACGUAGCGAAAUGCGAUACUUGGUGUGAAUUGCAGAAUCCCGUGAACCAUCGAGUCUUUGAACGCAAGUUGCGCCUCAAGCCAUUAGGUUGAGGGCACGUCUGCCUGGGCGUCACAUAUCGUUGCCUGAUGCCAGUUUCCUCGUGAUGGGUGACUGUGCAGGGCGAAUGAUGGCUUCCCGUGAGCAUUGUUGCCUCAUGGUUGGUUGAAAAUUGAGUCCUUGGUAGGGAGCGCCGUGAUAGAUGGUGGUUGAGUGACGAACGAGACCCAAUCAUGUGAGACCCCUACCGAAUUUGGCCUUCAUGACCCACAUGCGUCUUUGGAUCGCUCAUGACGAGACCUCAGGUCAGGCGGGGCUACCCGCUGAGUUUAAGCAUAUCAAUAAGCGGAGGA
rnacentral:misc_RNA from 1 species